ACUCAACUGACGAGUCCCAAAUAAGACGAAACGCGGGUCUUGGAU
rnacentral:hammerhead_ribozyme from 1 species